rnacentral:rRNA from 1 species
UAGGGAAUCUUCCACAAUGGGCGCAAGCCUGAUGGAGCAACACCGCGUGAGUGAAGAAGGGUUUCGGCUCGUAAAGCUCUGUUGUUAAAGAAGAACACGUAUGAGAGUAACUGUUCAUACGUUGACGGUAUUUAACCAGAAAGUCACGGCUAACUACGUGCCAGCAGCCGCGGUAAUACGUAGGUGGCAAGCGUUAUCCGGAUUUAUUGGGCGUAAAGAGAGUGCAGGCGGUUUUCUAAGUCUGAUGUGAAAGCCUUCGGCUUAACCGGAGAAGUGCAUCGGAAACUGGAUAACUUGAGUGCAGAAGAGGGUAGUGGAACUCCAUGUGUAGCGGUGGAAUGCGUAGAUAUAUGGAAGAACACCAGUGGCGAAGGCGGCUACCUGGUCUGCAACUGACGCUGAGACUCGAAAGCAUGGGUAGCGAACAGGAUUAGAUACCCUGGUAGUCCAUGCCGUNNCGAUGAGUGCUAGGUGUUGGAGGGUUUCCGCCCUUCAGUGCCGGAGCUAACGCAUUAAGCACUCCGCCUGGGGAGUACGACCGCAAGGUUG